AGCUGCGACCAUACCAGCACUAAUGCACCGGAUCCCAUCAAAAAUCCGCAGAUAAGUAUGCUUGGGCGGGAGUAAUACUAGGAUGGGUGACCUCCUGGGAAGUCCUCGUGUUGCACCUC
rnacentral:rRNA from 2 species